AAAAAGACAAACCCUGGUUUCCGUGUCCAACGUUUGACCGUCCGUCUUAUUUGAAAAAAUUAUGAAAAAAAAUUAAAAAGACAAGUCACACAUAAAAUAUUAAUCAUGUUUUUAUCAUCUAACAACAAUGAAAAUACGAAUUAUAAAAAAAAUUUAUAUAAGACGGACAGUCAAAGUUGGACACGGAAACCUAGGGUUUGUCUUUUU
rnacentral:pre_miRNA from 1 species